CCAACAUUAUUAAUGCUAUUUAUUUUUUCAUGAUGAUGCCCUUUGGCAGGUCAGAUUCCACUUUUGUUGUGGGAAUCGACACUUACUGGUAUUUGUAAAUGACGUGUGGAUUAAUCAGCAACCAGAAAUUAAUCAUUUAGUUCAGUUCCCUGAAAACUUGCCUGAAAAAUUUCCCCUCUGCUUGGACUGUGCCUUUUCCUUUAAAGAAAAAUGUUUAAAAAAAUCAAAUGCAUACAUGCAUUUAAAUGAAACAAAUCAAC
rnacentral:lncRNA from 1 species